AGUGUCUCAUUCUCGUCGGUGCGAUGAGGUCGUCCUCGAAGGCCGGAAGGGCAAGCCCUUGCUCUCGGCAUCAAGUGAUUUCACUGUGGUCAACAAGGUGGUCAACAAAGGUAAAAGUGUGAGUGAGGCUCACAUGCAUGAUGAGCUGGAUCAAGGGGAAAAGACGAUAGUGGGAGACACAUGUCGAAAGGCAACGCGAUAGAGGAAGUUAAGCACUCAACUCCGCAGGUACAUUCUACCGGGAAGGAUCAGCAAUAAAGGGAGGAGAGAAACAGGAAAGAAAGAGUACAAGCUGUGAAUUGAUGGAACUUGGGCCUGGUUUAUCUCAAGCUUGAGAGAAGGGAUGUUUGGGUUUCUCUGGGAAUCUGAAGAGCUGUUCUUCUGGAUUUCUAGUUGGUUAUCUUCUUAAUGUUUGUAAUACUUCUCAGUCAUUGAGGUUUGAUUGUUCUCAUUUCUCUUUGAACUGUUAAAUCAUGGAUAUAUUACUGUGUGUAUGCUAAGCUAGUGAUGUGGAGGAGAUCAUCUUAUAUCUGAUUUAGAGUUGUUUGUUAUUGAAGUGUUGCUUCUUUAUUUGAAUUCAGAAUUUCCUUUAAAUGAAAUGAGCUGUGACAUGUGAUUCAAUUUCUGAUUGAAUGCUGCAUCUUGAAUGGUGAUUGUUAGCUCAGAUCUUUAAGUCAGAAUUAACAGCAUAACAGGAGUCUAGUUGUUUCCAGAGAUGAAGUUUUAUGCCAUUAAUUCUUGCUCUUGUCCUUGCAGGAUUCUGUCUCAGAUAUAUUGCUUGCGCUGGAAGCUAUUCUUUGUUUAAGAAAUGAGAGAGUUCUAAGAUUUACUGCUGAUACAACAAACAAAUUGAGAGGCAUGUAUUUGAGCUAAAACCAAGUAAGUUCAGAAGUGAAGUUGGCGUUAUCUGAGGAGGUGGAUGCAAUGGUUUCAAAAAGAUUUUGGAAUAUGUUUAUUCGGGCAUGAUCCAAGUGGAGGUUGAGUAUGUGGGGCCUGUGGAAAAAAUUGCCAAGUUUUGUGGCUUAAAGUCAUUAUUGUACAUGCUCCAGCGAGGAUUACCUAAAUGGGGACCUUAUACGCCAAUUUGUGACCUGACACAAGCGCCAAUUUGUGACCUGACACAAGCACUUGAAACGGUUGAAGUUGAACCAGCUUGCCACACAUUUACGGUCAUCAGCUUGGAAGUUAAGGCAACUGAAGGAGUGGCUUGGAAUUGCUCGAUCUGCCUACUUUCAAUGCCUCAUUUGUUGUACUGUCAUCCAGCUGUGAUUAUUUUAGGUCACUGUUUUCUUCUGGGAUGCGGGACAGUAAUGCAGAUGUUAUCAAGGUCCCCAUAGGAUGGAAUGCAUUGGUUAAACUAGUCAAGUGGAUGUAUUCAGCGAAGCUCCCAAGAAUAAAUAAUGGUUGUUCGUUGAACAAUAUGGAUGCAGAGCAGAUGUUAUUCCUGGUCUAUCAUCAUAAUAUUGAAGCAAGACAUGCAGAUUGAAAUAUUAAUGCAAUUAUUUCUGGUUGGCACAUAGGUUAAAGGAACAGACCAUCAAACAGCUGACGGGACUUGUAUAAGAGACUAUAAAUAUGUCACUGAUCUUGUCGAUGCCCAUGUCAAGGCGUUGGACAAACCAAUGCCUAACAAAGUUGGAAUCUACUACGUCGGUACCGGAAAAGGUUAAUCGGUAGAGGAGUUUGUGGAAGCAUGCAUUACCGAGGAGUUUGUGGAAGCAUGCAAGAAAGCGACCGGGAUCAAUGUGAAGGUCGAAUACCUGGACCGUCGGCCCUGGGACUAUGCGGAAGUCUACAGCAAUCCUUCCAAGAUCAACAAUGAUCUCAACUGGACAGCACAGUUCACUGACCUUGAAGAGAGCCUUCGCAUUGCAUGGAUAUGGCAGAAAGCUUAUCCCAAUGGCUACCGAUCAUAAUAUUUCACUGUCUUCAUUGUUACAUUUUUUUUUCAUAAUUGGCUGAGUCAGAAUGAAUGUAAUUAAUACUGGAGGUGUAGUCACAGGUGAUCAUUUGAUAUAUGUUUCAUUGAACAACAAUGGACAAUGAACAAGAGAUUUCUAAUUUAAUGAUUGAUUCCUUUAAUUUUA